CCCCGGUAAACGGCGGCCGUAACUAUAACGGUCCUAAGGUAGCGAAAUUCCUUGUCGGGUAAGUUCCGACCUGCACGAAUGGCGUAAUGAUGGCCAGGCUGUCUCCACCCGAGACUCAGUGAAAUUGAACUCGCUGUGAAGAUGCAGUGUACCCGCGGCAAGACGGAAAGACCCCGUGAACCUUUACUAUAGCUUGACACUGAACAUUGAGCCUUGAUGUGUAGGAUAGGUGGGAGGCUUUGAAGUGUGGACGCCAGUCUGCAUGGAGCCGACCUUGAAAUACCACCCUUUAAUGUUUGAUGUUCUAACGUGGACCCGUAAUCCGGGUUGCGGACAGUGUCUGGUGGGUAGUUUGACUGGGGCGGUCUCCUCCUAAAGAGUAACGGAGGAGCACGAAGGUUGGCUAAUCCUGGUCGGACAUCAGGAGGUUAGUGCAAUGGCAUAAGCCAGCUUGACUGCGAGCGUGACGGCGCGAGCAGGUGCGAAAGCAGGUCAUAGUGAUCCGGUGGUUCUGAAUGGAAGGGCCAUCGCUCAACGGAUAAAAGGUACUCCGGGGAUAACAGGCUGAUACCGCCCAAGAGUUCAUAUCGACGGCGGUGUUUGGCACCUCGAUGUCGGCUCAUCACAUCCUGGGGCUGAAGUAGGUCCCAAGGGUAUGGCUGUUCGCCAUUUAAAGUGGUACGCGAGCUGGGUUUAGAACGUCGUGAGACAGUUCGGUCCCUAUCUGCCGUGGGCGCUGGAGAACUGAGGGGGGCUGCUCCUAGUACGAGAGGACCGGAGUGGACGCAUCACUGGUGUUCGGGUUGUCAUGCCAAUGGCACUGCCCGGUAGCUAAAUGCGGAAGAGAUAAGUGCUGAAAGCAUCUAAGCACGAAACUUGCCCCGAGAUGAGUUCUCCCUGAGACUUAGAGUCUCCUGAAGGAACGUUGAAGACGACGACGUUGAUAGGCCGGGUGUGUAAGCGCAGCGAUGCGUUGAGCUAACCGGUACUAAUGAACCGUGAGGCUUAACCUUACAACGCUGAAG
rnacentral:rRNA from 1 species